UACAGAGGGUGCGAGCGUUGUCCGGAAUCACUGGGCGUAAAGGGCGCGUAGGCGGCUCGGUAAGCGUGCGGUGAAAGCCCGGGGCUCAACCCCCGGGUCGGCCGUGCGAACUGCGGAGCUGGAGCACUGUAGAGGCAGGUGGAAUUCCGGGUGUAGCGGUGGAAUGCGUAGAGAUCCGGAAGAACACCGGUGGCGAAGGCGGCCUGCUGGGCAGUUGCUGACGCUGAGGCGCGACAGCGUGGGGAGGCAAACAGG
rnacentral:rRNA from 1 species